GUGCCAGCCGCUGCGGUAAUACGGAGGGGGCUAGCGUUGUUCGGAAUCACUGGGCGUAAAGCGCACGUAGGCCGACUAUUAAGUCGGGGUGAAAGCCUGGAGCUCAACUCCAGAACUGCCUCCGAUACUGAUCGUCUUGAGUCCGAGAGAGGUGAGUGGAAUUCCCAGUGUAGAGGUGAAAUUCGUAGAUAUUGGGAAGAACACCAGUGGCGAAGGCGGCUCACUGGCUCGGUACUGACGCUGAGGUGCGAAAGCGGUGGGAGCAAACAGGAUUAGAUACCCUGGUAGUCCACGCCGUAAACGAUGGAUGCUAGCC
rnacentral:rRNA from 1 species